rfam:Desulfuromonadales bacterium GWD2_61_12 gwd2_scaffold_478, whole genome shotgun sequence.
GAAAGCCGUGUGCGGGAAAACCGCAAGCACGGUUUGACGAGGGAGGGCAGGGUGAACCUGCUCUUUACUCUAC